rnacentral:rRNA from 1 species
UACAGAGGUCUCAAGCGUUGUUCGGAUUCAUUGGGCGUAAAGGGUGCGUAGGCGGCGCCGUAAGUCAGGUGUGAAAUUUCGGAGCUUAACUCCGAAACUGCAUUUGAUACUGCGGUGCUUGAGGACUGGAGAGGAGACUGGAAUUUACGGUGUAGCAGUGAAAUGCGUAGAUAUUGGGAGGAACACCAGUGGCGAAGGCGGCUCACUGGACCGGAACUGACGCUGAUGCGCGAAAGCGUGGGGAGCAAACGGG